rnacentral:snoRNA from 1 species
AUAUUGCCUAUGAUGGUGUUAAAUAUACUUCGAGGUAUACUAUGAGAAAAUAUUUCGGCUGAGGCAUUGC